CAGCAAAAAAAAUAUCGACCACGGCAGGAUUCGAACCUGCAAUCUUCUGCUCCGUAGGCAGACGCGUUAUCCAUUGCGCCACGCGGCCACAUUUCC